rnacentral:tRNA from 1 species
GCCUUCGUGGUGUAGUGGUCAGCCCGCUCGACGCGUAACCGAGAGGUCCGUGGUUCGAUUCCCGGCGAAAGUA